rnacentral:rRNA from 1 species
AGAGAUGUGUGAUGACGCAUAUCAAUAAGCGGAGGAAAAGAAACUAACAAGGAUUCCCCUAGUAACGGCGAGUGAAGCGGGAAGAGCUCAAAUUUGAAAUCUUAAAGGGUUUCCCUUUACGAAUUGUAGUUUAAAGAAGUGUUUUCUGUUGGAGUUUCGGUAAAAGUUCUUUGGAAUAGGACAUCAUAGAGGGUGAGAAUCCCGUAUUUGAUCGUUACUUUCCAGCUGUGUGAUACACUUUCAAAGAGUCGGAUUGUUUGGGAAUGCAGUCCAAAAUGGGUGGUAAAUUUCAUCUAAAGCUAAAUAUUGGCGAGAGACCGAUAGCGAACAAGUACCGUGAGGGAAAGAUGAAAAGAACUUUGAAAAGAGAGUUAAACAGUACGUGAAAUUGUCAAAAGGGAAGCGUUUGACACCAGUGUUGUUUAGUUGAAAAUCAAUUCAAUAAUUUUUGAUUUUAAGUAGUAUUGACUUCAUCAGCUUGCUGCUUUCUUUUCAGGAAUUAUUGAAUGCACUUUUCAGUUAACAAGUCAACAUCAAUUUCUUUUGUUGUAAAAGGGUAAGAGGAAGGUGGCUUACGCUUCGGCGUAAGUGUUUAUAGCCUUUUACCUCUGCAAUCGGAGAGAUUGAGGACAGCAGCGUAGACUCUUCGGGGUUAGAUACACUUGUGCUAAGCUAUAGCCUUGUAUAGACAACUUGUUGACUAUGCUCAGUCAUGUAGCUUACUCGCUUAGUGCUAUUUUACCUACGCUUAGGAUGUUGACGCAUGAGAUAUACGC